rnacentral:lncRNA from 12 species
CCUGCAAUGGCUCUACUGUGGCUCUGCUACUAAAACCUUAGUGAAAAGACAGCAGGAUCCUGUCCAGGGUGGAUGAGCGCUCCUGGAGGUUGUGCACUGAUGAGGAGCAUUCGCGCGCUCUCCGACAGGAAAUCUCUUGGAACUCCAAUCCUUGCUAUUCAGAGAAGAGGAUGUGAGCUGUGCUCUGAGUCCCCUCACACUCAGCUGAGUGAAGCACGCUUCGGUAAGACAGUCUCCUGUUUACUCACUCAUCGCUUGAUUCAGCAAAUAUUGAUUGAGUCACAUGUUGACGCAAAUCCUCUUUCAAAGUGAAGCAAAUUAUAUUUAUUUGGAAAUCAUGCUUGACCUUUAAAGCUUAUGAUUGACCCUUAAAUUAUGGCACAUGAUGCUUUCUUAUCUAGUUUUUUUUUGUCCUUUUUAUUUUACUGAGUUGGAGAGGGUGUGGUUGGAAACAGGAUUGUGCUGUGCUUGUGAUAUGCUGAUGGAAAGCUGUCAGCUGCUGAAAUCACCCUAGAGAGAAGCUUGUAUUGUAACGGGAAAAAUAUCAGGGAGAGAGAAAUAAAGAAGACAACAGCAACCA